rnacentral:rRNA from 1 species
ACGGAUCCUUCGGGAUUAGUGGCAGACGGGUGAGUAACGCGUGGGAAGCUACCUUGUGGUAGGGGACAACAGUUGGAAACGACUGCUAAUACCCUAUGAGCCCUAUGGGGGAAAGAUUUAUCGCCAUGAGAUGUGCCCGCGUUAGAUUAGCUAGUUGGUAAGGUAAUGGCUUACCAAGGCGACGAUCUAUAGCUGGUCUGAGAGGAUGAUCAGCCACACUGGGACUGAGACACGGCCCAGACUCCUACGGGAGGCAGCAGUGGGGAAUAUUGGACAAUGGGGGCAACCCUGAUCCAGCCAUGCCGCGUGUGUGAUGACGGCCUUAGGGUUGUAAAGCACUUUCAGCACUGAAGAUAAUGACAUUAACUGCAUAAGAAGCCCCGGCUAACUUCGUGCCAUCAGCCGCGGUAAUACGAAGGGGGCUAGCGUUGUUCGGAAUCACUGGGCGUAAAGAGUACGUAGGCGGACUG